AUGAACGCUGGCGGCGUGCCUAAUACAUGCAAGUCGCACGAAACUUCUUUAUCACCGAGUGCUUGCACUCACCGAUAAAGAGUUGAGUGGCGAACGGGUGAGUAACACGUGGGCAACCUGCCCAAAAGAGGGGGAUAACACUUGGAAACAGGUGCUAAUACCGCAUAACCAUAGUUACCGCAUGGUAACUAUGUAAAAGGUGGCUAUACUACCGCUUUUGGAUGGGCCCGCGGCGCAUUAGCUAGUUGGUAGGGUAAAGGCUUACCAAGGCAAUGAUGCGUAGCCGAAUUGAGAGGUUGAUCGGCCACAUUGGGACUGAGACACGGCCCAAACUCCUACGGGAGGCAGCAGUAGGGAAUCUUCCACAAUGGGCGAAAGCCUGAUGGAGCAACGCCGCGUGGGUGAAGAAGGUCUUCGGAUCGUAAAACCCUGUUGUUAGAGAAGAAAGUGCGUGAGAGUAACUGUUCACGUUUCGACGGUAUCUAACCGGAAAGCCACGGCUAACUACGUG
rnacentral:rRNA from 1 species